rnacentral:sRNA from 1 species
CAACUAUAUAUCUAUAGAUGUUAAUUUUUUAAUGAUGGCUUUUUUUUGCUACAAGAACUCCACUCAAGCAGAGGAUAUACAGAUGUGAUCACAUGUACACAUUGUGGACUAUGAGCACGUGCCCCUGAAAAUCUUCAACACCAUCCAGUGCAUCCAGGCACAACAGAUGAGGACACCAGAGCAGGAUGUUGGGGUCAAGGUAGCAGAGGUGGCAAUUUUGAACAUGUCUUUAAAGAUGAUUGGGUUGUGAAAAGGAGUAAAUCCGCAUGGAGUGUGGCAGCUGACUAUCUUCAAGACAGAAGAGACACUGAAUACCUAGACAUGAGAUGGAAAAGGUGUCCAUGUCAAUGAUGCUGUCAAACAUAAUAUCAACUUCAGAGUUGGCAGAUGAGAUUCUUCAUUUGCACAGCCCCUUAUAUAGACUGCAGAGUGAAACUCAAUCCUGGCUUGUUUACACUUGACAAAUGUAAAGCUCAUACUGGUCUUUGAUUUGAUAGUCUGAUGAGUGAAAGAGAUUUCAACACCCGUUAGUAGUUAACUUACGCAACCACCUCCUCAUGUAUUCACGCGCAUGUACAAUCCCACUCCGCGCCCGUGUAGUCCUAACAAUUCCUCUGCAUAACCCUCAUGGUUCCACUCCGUGCACAUGUAGUCUCUAACAAUUCCUCCACAUAAUCUUCUAUGUUCUUCUGCUCUGCUCAUCUCUCUAUAAGAAUCUCUUCAUACAAUCUUUCCUUUUAAUCUCUUUUCUCUUUCUUUCCUUAAUCAAUUCAUAAACUGUAUUAGAAUAGUGC